UUACCUAUAGAAUUUAAUGUCACCAAAAAUAUUAUUUUUUUUAAACACAAUCUCUUACGGUUUAUAUAGGCCUUAUGGUAAUUAUAAACUGAUAUUAUUUAACCGGGCGAUUUAUCUAUAAUACCACUUAAAGCUUACAGUAGUUAUACCAAAACAUUUCAACUGAGUUACCGUCAGAUAAAGAGAGAGUAAACAAUUUCAGACUCUCCUUACUUACGUUUCACUUGUAUUUAAGCUAUAUACACGAGUACUUAUUGUGACACUAUU